CUUUCCUCAUCUCUCUGGUCUUUGUAUGUUUUUUUUUGUCUUUUUUUCUCUCUUUCUCUCUUUGUCCCUCUCUCUCUCUCUUUCUUGCUUUUAGUGUGUGUGUGUGUGAGUUUUUUUUUCUUAUUCUCUCUUUCUUUUGGCAUUCUCUCUCUCUUUCACAUAAUAUGACAUUCUGUGAGCCAAUCUCAGUGCAAAAGUGUUACCAAUCCGAUUUAGUUGUGCAUUCCUAACCCCCAUCCUCUCAUCCUCUCAUCCUCUCAUCCUCUCAUCCCCAGGGCAUGCAGGGAGAGAGAGGGACAGCUGGACCACCUGGCCUGAAGGGUGAACAGGGGUCGUCAGGAACUCCUGGAUACCCAGGAACCAUGGGACCGCCUGGACUUACAGGACUAAAGGGGGAACGUGGAGGGACCGGCAAUAACGGGGAGAAGGGCGAAUCGGUGAGCAGAACCACAAACACACUUUGUUGACAAAUAAACACUCUGAACUCAUGACA
rnacentral:lncRNA from 1 species